GGGCAAAUGAAUUCUUUUUAUUUCUAUAACAAAAUCUUGUUCAUUACAAAGAAAAUUUUCUAUUUCCUCUACCAUCCAUCUCCCAUUUGGGCUCUAUUUAUAAGUCCCAACUAAAGCACUACAGAGAGAUCCCUAUAAAUAAGGAAGACCAAUUCUUCAGCAUUUUCUUUCUCAAUUGCAGUUAGGAAAAGGCACAUGACAGCAGAGCAUUAUUCUUUGAGCUAUUCUUCUGCUAAUCGUGUGCUCUUAUUUUUCUCUAGUUCUGUUGAUGAUUAGCACUUAUAUUGGUGACACGUGGAAGUCCAAGUGUCCAAAGAGAUCGUCCCAGAUCACGACUCCCCCUGUUAGGACAACCAACCCCUGCUAGUUCUAGAAUUGAAGACGUGGAAACUGGGCUUGGCCAUCCUCUCGUGAGGCCCAUUUUGCCAAGUUUGGUCUGUCCUUUACGUCCAAUCCGAAAUGAUUCUAAGUUGCCUCGCCUAUGCCUAGUAUUGGGGUUUUUCCGCACCACAAUAGUGUCCUCUACUAGCUUACUUUUAGAAUCGGCUGCAAAGUCCUCGACUUUUGGUAGCACCUCAUAAGAUUCAUCAUCCAGAAUAGAAGGCUCAAAUAACUUCAGCUUGUCCACAUUAACCACAUAAUAGAGAUCCAUAUAUGCGGGAAGAUCCAACUGACAAGCGUUUUCUCCUAUCUUGUGAAGGAUUUUGAAGGGACCAUAGCGAAUUGGUUUGAGUUUUUCCUUCUCCUUUCAUCCUUUCCUUGCUCAAAUGUAACCAGACCAAAUCACCUUCCUGAAAGUUACCCUUCAUCCUGUGGAGAUCGUGUCGUUCCUUAUAUUUCUGUUACGAUUUUUGUAAUUGUUGUUCAACUUCUUCAUGGAUUUUCCUUAUUUGCUCUACAAAGUUGUGAGCCCUCACCUUCUCAUCUUCACCUUUUCAUGACUGUGUCUUAGAUUCAACAUAGAAUUUCAAAUCGAAUGGACUUUGCAGUAGAAAUCCCAAGCACAACUCUAAAGGGGAUUUGUUUGUAGAGCUAUGAGUAGUAUGGUUGAUGGUGAAUUGAAGAAGAAAUGGAAUGCAGUCAUCCUAAGUCUUUGGGUGCCUGGAAUUGUAGCCUCGUAGGAGAUGAACUAUAGUUUGAUUCAUUACCUCUGUUUGCCUAUCAGUUUGAGGGUGAAAUGCUGUACUUCUUUUUAGCUUUGUAUCCAUCAUCUCCCAUAGUACACACCAGAAUUUGCUCAGAAAUUAACUGUCAUGAUCAGAAAUGAUCGACUUAGGAAGUCAAAAGAAUUUCCAUACAUUCUCAAAAAAUAGUUGAAAGGCUUUUGUCCCUGUGAUGGUUUUCUAGCACGGCAUUAACACCACCAUCUUGGAGAAUUUGUCCACCACCACGAACAAAUAAUCAUGGCCUUUGCAUGCUAAUGGUAGACCUUCUAGAAAAUCCAUCAAGAUUCUCUCCCAUGGUCGCAAUGGAACAGGCAAUGGCAUAUACAGUCCAAGUUUGUGAUUGGCUGGUUUUGAGGUGCUACAAAGCGCGCAUCCUUUGAUGAAGCGAGCUAUGUCUUGUUGCAUUUUAGGCUAAAAUACAUAUCUGCACAGAUUUUGCAAUGUUUUAAUUACUCCGAAACGUCUAGCUAUUUUUGAAGUGUGGGCUUUCCGAAGAUAUCGUACACGUUGAUCUGCUCAUGGCACACAAAUAAGUCCUUCUUUGUAAAGCAACCCGUCUCGUUGUUCAUAUCCCGUUGCAUUUCCUAACUACAAUUCAGCCAUUAUUCUUUAAAAUCAGGGUCCUCUUCAUACUAGCCCAUAUAUGUCUUCUUUAGGUCUGGUGGGACAUGCAUAACCACUGAUAAAGAUAGAGCUGCAACUGGAGGGUGUGAAAGCAUAACUGCCAACUUAUUUUGGGUUCUUUUUUAUACUUGAUUACUAGAUGAAGUUGUUGCAAAUAAGUCAUCCUCAUAUGACGGGAUUGUUGAAGACAAGUUUGUGUCUAUAGGUACUGAAGUAGCUAGUGGUUAGUGUGUACAAUUGUUUCAUUGCUGAGGGGGUGGACUCACCAAUGUUUGAUUGCCUAACAUAGCGUCAUCAACUCCUUAUCAUAUGUUGGGUAAUUUUUUGCAGCUCCAUGAAAUAACUCUGAGUGGUAGGCAACUGGACGUCCCUCCUGCAUGAGCACUGCUCCCAACAUAUAACCCGAAGCAUCUGCUUCUAACUCAAAAGGUUUCUACAGAUUUGGUAGAACAAUGAUUAAUACCUUGCUGAUUUUCACUUUUAAGAGCUUGAACCUGUCCUCAUGUUCAAGACCCCAAGCGAAACUUUGACUAGCCUUCAUCAAGGAGUGCAAUGGAGCAACAAUCAAAGAGAAAUCCUUGAUGAAUUUUCGAAGAUAUUGGCAAGCGCCCAUAAAGCUCCGAACAUCAAUGAUGGAUCGAGGAGGUAGCCAUUCAAUAAUGGUUUUGAUUUUGCUGGGAUCCACCUGUAAUUGCCCAUCACCUACAAUGAAUCCUAAAUAAAUCAAAGAAGACUUCUUCAACUCACACUUUUUGUGGUUGAGGCGCAAUUGAUAGUGGGAUAAUUUAUCGAACACCUGAUGAACAUGGUUAAGAUGGGUCUCCCAAGAGUUGCUGUAUAUUAGAAUGUCAUCAAGGUAGAUAAUAACGAAAUCAUCAAUAAAUGGUCUGAGGAUUUCGUUCAUCAACUGCAUAAAGGUGGUAGGGGUAUUGCACAAUCCAAAUGGCAUAACCAGCCAUUCAUAUAGCCACUGUUUGGUUUUGAAAGCAGUCUUCUAGUGUCUUCCUCCCGAAUUCGAACAUGAUGGCACCCCGAUUUGAGGUCAAGCUUAGUAAACACCUUGGCAUGACGCAACUGAUCCAGUAGUCGUCAGUUCGAGAGAGAGGGUAGCGAUUCUUGAUUGUAAUUUUGUUGAGUGCUCGAAAAUCCACACACAUUCUCCACCCGCAUCCUUUUUCGGUACUGAAAUGAUUGGCAAGCCGCAUGGAGAAUUCCUGGGCUUGAUUACUCCAGCUUCUAAGAGCUCUGUGACUUGGCGUUUGAUCUCUUCAUUUUCCAUGACUGAGUUUCGGUACAAUCUUAGGUUGGGUAAAGUGGCAUCUUAGAGGAGCUAAAUGUCGUGUUCGACUUCUCGUUUUGGAGGAAACCCAGUGAGGUCAGCAAAGAGAUGGUCAAACUGGCCGAGGAUUUUAG
rnacentral:lncRNA from 1 species